GCGCACCAGUCGCGAAUCCUUCGCAAUGCGGGAAACCGCGACGGGGGGACUCCCAGUGCCUACGCUCAGCGUAGGCUGUUCCCGAGCCUAGAAAGCUCGGGGAGUAAGGGCUGGGUAAGACGGGUGCCAGCCGCCGCGGUAAUACCCGCAGCCCGAGUGGUGGCCACUAUUAUUGGGCCUAAAGCGUCCGUAGCCGGCCCGGUAAAUGCCUGGGUAAAUCGUGAGGCCUAACCUCACGAAUUCCGGGUAGACUGCCGGGCUAGGGACCGGAGGAGGGAGAGGGUACUCCAGGGGUAGGGGUGAAAUCCUGUAAUCCCUGGAGGACCACCGGUGGCGGAGGCGCUCUCCUAGGACGGGUCCGACGGUGAGGGACGAAAGCCAGGGGAGCGAACCGGAUUAGAUACCCCGGUAGU
rnacentral:rRNA from 1 species